UACGGAGGGGGCUAGCGUUGUUCGGAAUUACUGGGCGUAAAGCGCGCGUAGGCGGACCUGCAAGUCGGGGGUGAAAGCCCGAGGCUCAACCUCGGAACUGCCUUCGAUACUGCGGGUCUCGAGUCCGGGAGAGGUGAGUGGAAUUCCUAGUGUAGAGGUGAAAUUCGUAGAUAUUAGGAAGAACACCAGUGGCGAAGGCGGCUUCCUGGACACUAACUGACGCUGAGACGCGAAAGCGUGGGGAGCAAACAGG
rnacentral:rRNA from 1 species